rnacentral:rRNA from 1 species
CCUACGGGAGGCAGCAGUGGGGAAUCUUGGACAAUGGGGGCAACCCUGAUCCAGCCAUGCCGCGUGAGUGAUGAAGGCCUUAGGGUCGUAAAGCUCUUUCGCCAGGGAUGAUAAUGACAGUACCUGGUAAAGAAACCCCGGCUAACUCCGUGCCAGCAGCCGCGGUAAUACGGAGGGGGUUAGCGUUGUUCGGAAUUACUGGGCGUAAAGCGCACGUAGGCGGAUCAGAAAGUUGGGGGUGAAAUCCCGGGGCUCAACCCCGGAACUGCCUCCAAAACUCCUGGUCUUGAGUUCGAGAGAGGUGAGUGGAAUUCCGAGUGUAGAGGUGAAAUUCGUAGAUAUUCGGAGGAACACCAGUGGCGAAGGCGGCUCACUGGCUCGAUACUGACGCUGAGGUGCGAAAGUGUGGGGAGCAAACAGGAUUAGAUACCCUGGUAGUCCACACCGUAAACGAUGAAUGCCAGUCGUCGGGUAGCAUGCUAUUCGGUGACACACCUAACGGAUUAAGCAUUCCGCCUGGGGAGUACGGUCGCAAGAUUAAAACUCAAAGGAAUUGACGGGG